CGCCAUCAAACCACGCCCGCGGGAAUCCUGUGUGAGACCUGUGACCUGAGGGUGAGCAAGUGUCGUUUUUUGAUCCCAGCAAAGCUUUCUAGGUGGUCCUGGGUUUUCUGUCUCCUUGGUGCAGUUGAAGCCAGCAAAUUAUCAGUCGUGGACUUCGCGGAGAGCUGAUGCAAAGCUUUUACCAAAGCGCUCGACCUGAGGAAACUGGAGAGCAAACUCUGAGCCCCGCUUCUCUGGCUGUGAUUUUUCACCCCAGCCGGCCAGGCGGGGGAAGGCCGGAGCUUCCCUCCCGGCUAAGGAGAAGCUCUUCUCUGCUUGUCUCCCCUCUUUAGAUUCUCUUCAACAAGUAUGACGGAUGUUUACGGUGGUUCUUGGAUCUUACACCCUAAGCGCAGUCAUUGAUUUAUUCUAGCAGCUCUCUUGGCAGGUGCCAUAGGAUUAUUUCCAUAAUCAGGUUGGUGGUAGUGUGGGAGGCAGCUUCACAACAGAAGUUGGGAGGAAAUCUUACUACGUUCGUUGGCUGAUGGGGAUCACUCUCAAAGCCUAAGCUCAGCACUGCGCUCAGGUUAGGGUUUCUAUAGCUUCUGUAAGCCGGAAGAGAUCGUGGGAGUUUAGGACAAACCUUAGUCAUCAGUUACUAAGCAGGCAACUCUUGGGACAGGUUGGUGGGAAACAAUGUGAUCUGGGCUUAGGAAGUACAGAUAGUGCGGCUGGCUGCACCAGCCUUGUCUUGGUUUUAUGUUUUUUGUAAAGAAUGUUUUUAGACUGUUAAAUAUAUGUUUUUUGUAAAGAGUAUAUUUUGUGAUUUUGUUGUAUUAGCCAGAAUGAGCUCUUCUCGUCUCGAUGCAAUAGGCAGGGAGAGUUUAAAGUUUUAAAUUUUUUUAUGGCAGGGCUCACUUUUAUCACUUCCUUUCCGCUUUGGUAUUCUCAGUCCACUGGUCAAAAACAACAAAGCAAUAUCGAGCAGGCGUGGUGUCUUGAUUACUUUUGUCUCUGCUGAGACAGAAUACCCACCACUCAAUAUUGAGGAAAGAAAAGUUUAUUUAGCUUUCAGUUUGUGGAGGUUUCAGUGCAUCAUCAGCUGGUUCGAAGGCAGGUUGGCUUGGCAAUGGGGCAAGACUUCAAGGUAGCAGCCAACAAAAGCAACCAGAGCAAAAGGGGGAAGAACAAGCCUCUUUUCCUCCUUUUUGUUGUACACAGUCCCCCCAUCCCAGGGCCAGUGUAGCACUCACAAAAUAUCUUUGCCCUCCUCUUGCACUAAAUGAGGAUAUUUACAAAUUAAGAAUACUGGCUCUCUGCUGAGUCUCUUUAACUUUUAAACUGCCCAAGUUGGCACAAUGUAUCAACCAUAACAAGUGGUAAGGGCAGCCUAUCUUUCUUAUCUUAGGUAGAAAGCAUUCACUCUUUUACCAUUAAGUGUGAUAUUGACUGUAGGAUUUUUGUAGAUUCCCUUUCAAAGGUUAUGGAUGUUUCCCUUUCUUUUGUAUGUGAUGAAUUUUCAUCAUUAAUGUUACUAAAUUUUUCCCAGUGCUUUUUGUGUGUGCCUAAAGAGAAUUGUUUGUUUCUUCUUUAGACGUGUUAAAAUGCCAUUCAAUUCACAGUGCAUGUGGGACUACAGAUGCUGAACAGAAUCUACCUGUUGUCAUAAAAUGGAAGAAGCAGAGCAGGGCACAUGUGCAAGAUAAGAUACCAACCUUAGGGUGAAAUGCUGAGAAUUUCAGAUGUGAUUUUAAUGUGAUGAGGGGAUCUUUCACUGUCAUCCAUCCCAGGAACACUUGCAUUGGGUCACGGUGGCCUUCUUGCCUAUUCAUCUCAGUUUUAAGCAUAGCAGGUAUUUUUGAAGGUAUCUUUGUUCAACUGAGUCCUGUGCCCUUGGCAUUGCUACAAACAAUCCUUCUGGGUAAAACUAAUGAAUAUGUGAAAAUGGACUAGUUUGGGCUUAAGGGAGCCAGAAUAAUACUUCUGUGUGUGUGUUUUGGGCAUGAUAUUGGCAUAGGAGAGGGAUGAUGUUAAGGUGCACUAAGUAAUUAUCUGAGCGAGUAGUGUAUGCAUAGCUUUUGUGUUUAGCUUCCAAGGAAGAAACGUGAUGCUCUUCUGUUAGCUCAGCCUUCAACUGAAGACCAGAUUCUAAACAAACACUGGUAAAGUAACCAUGAUCCUCCACAAGAUGGUGAGCUCUACCGAGUGGCUCUCAAAUGCCGAUUCCCCUUGCAUCUCAGGAUAACUCCUACAUGAUCAUUGUGUAUUCUUUUCCAAACAAGGGAGGAAGAGUGUCCCAAAGAAUUUACCUGUGCUGUUAGGGCAGAUCAAACAUAAAAUCAGGCUGAUUCCCCCACACAUCAAAUAUAGACAAGAUGAGCUGCUGAACAAGAUUGUGAGAACACAGGGAUCCAAGUGGGUCCCUUGUCCCUGGCCUCCAGUGACCUGAGUCCAAAGGGAAGGAGGAAGGAAGCACACAUCUAUCUGGAGCAUGGCCAGGUGACAGCAGAAGUGGGACAUGUCACUGUGUCAAGCAUCCCUGCAGCCAUUUUCCUAUCCAAGGUAUGGUGUGGGACAUCUGGAUCCCACCUGACAGGAGCCACACAGGAGACAUGAGACAGAAAAGCAGUCAUCCCAGAAUCUGGACAGCUGGUCUCAGCCCUUAGUGCCCCUCAUGCCCUGCAGAUGAGGGAGGACUGGGCUCCCGAGCAGGUGGAUUCCCUAACUAGCAGGGACUUUGUGCAACCAGCAUGGUGAUUCUAACACCGUGAUGACCUGUGGAGAGGAGACUCUGACUGCUGGAGUCAGCAGCUGUAUGACAGAAACACUGGGAUAGAUAAGAGCCAAUCAUGUUUCCGGAGAAUCCUUCAAAGAGCAGAGAACCCUUCCUUUUGGCCUUUCUGAUUGAAAGUCCCAGCGAAGGAUGGACAUGGAUCUACCGUGUGUGGUUCUGGGUCUAAGGGUUUUGCCACUGAAUGAGUCCACUGAUGUGAAUUAGCACAGUUGAGAAUGUGGCCAGCUGGACUCACUCCGGUGGCAGAAACCCCACCCUGGGCAUGGAGGCACCACUCAGAAGGCUGAUACGUGUGGGGGCUACGACUCCUACCCGAUGUCCUGCUGUUACUCACUCCUGCCUGGGAUGUCCACCGCCGGGAGUUCAGCCUUGCAGUCAGCCAUCUGAGGACUGAAACCUCCGAAAACUGUGAGUGAAAAUAAAACAUCCCUCCAUUAAUUGUGGAUGUCACCUAUUUUGUCCCAGCAAGUGAAAAGUAACUAAGACACCAGUGUUCAAAACAAACUUCAGAAGAGAUAAAGAAGAUUAAUCCGUACAGAUGAACGGAACAGUUCACCAGGAAGACACAGCCAUUGCAGAAACAUAGGCGCCCCACACUGGCACACCCAGCUUCACAAGAGAUCAGAGCAGCCACUGAGCAAGACAACAGAGAGUUACAACCUCACCACACCAACCAUUACCGUGGUAGCUGCACAUCGAGCAGGCUCUGCCCAUGUUGUUCCUGUCAGGUCUUAUUUUUGGUGAAACACGGUAGUUCCAUGAAAUUCUAAGUCAGCACUGAGAGAGACCACUGCGAUUAUGUGUACUUGGAGAAUGAACAGUACACUACUGAUUAAUCAAUUGGUCACAGGAGAAGUUAAACCUUUUAGAAUUAAUAAUACUAGAGCCAACUAGAACUGUGGGUCAUAAAGAAUGUACACCAAAGAAUAAAAUCGAUAACUGUGACACCUCGCAUUAAAAAUUGUUCAUUCCAAAAUUAUGGGGUGUACACAUCAAGGUCCUACAGAAAAAAUUUUAAGUCCAAAACUAGAUGGGUCAGUGUGCGUCUGGGGCAGACAGAGCAGCGUGUCUCUGGAGUCUUCUCUAUUCUGUUCUUCUCCAUUUUCUGCAUUAACUUAGAGCUGUCAGGAUGAGGCGUUCCUGCAGCGUGUCCUUGGUUGGCACAGCUGCCUGGGAAUUCUGGCUCCAUGGUGGCAAGGUCUCGUCAUGCUGUGACAGUCUCUAUUUUCAGAGAAGGCAGUGAGGCAUCACAGGCAGAUGAACGGAUAGGUGAUGCCUUCCUGGGCACUGAUGGAACACGUGCAGAUGGAAUGACUCAUCGUGAAGCCCAGAGCAGGAGCACAGGAGCAGGGCUUCGGGACUGAGACCCUACAGAGAGCAUCUCCUACCCCCGCCUGAGCCAGAUUCUCUUCAAAGGGGAAACUGAAGAAGCUCUUAGACCUGAGCCCAUUACAUCUGCUGCUGUGUGCAAAGCCAUGUGUUGUACAAUAAAGCACUACAGCCUCCCCCGGUUCUGUGUCUUCACUGAAAGCCACAUCUGCCCCACCAAUAUCUGCUCCCUUCACCCAGCCUGUGCAACCACCUCACCCCAUUCUAGACGAUGAUGUGGAAGCAUAAAGAUUGGGGGCUUUUACUGGAAAA